rnacentral:rRNA from 1 species
GUACGGAGGGGGCUAGCGUUGUUCGGAAUUACUGGGCGUAAAGCGCACGUAGGCGGCUUUGUAAGUUAGAGGUGAAAGCCCGGGGCUCAACUCCGGAACUGCCUUUAAGACUGCAUCGCUUGAAUCAUGGAGAGGUUAGUGGAAUUCCGAGUGUAGAGGUGAAAUUCGUAGAUAUUCGGAAGAACACCAGUGGCGAAGGCGACUAACUGGACAUGUAUUGACGCUGAGGUGCGAAAGCGUGGGGAGCAAACAGG